UACGUAGGGUGCAAGCGUUAAUCGGAAUUACUGGGCGUAAAGCGUGCGCAGGCGGUUAUGCAAGACAGAUGUGAAAUCCCCGGGCUCAACCUGGGAACUGCAUUUGUGACUGCAUAACUAGAGUACGGCAGAGGGGGAUGGAAUUCCGCGUGUAGCAGUGAAAUGCGUAGAUAUGCGGAGGAACACCGAUGGCGAAGGCAAUCCCCUGGGCCUGUACUGACGCUCAUGCACGAAAGCGUGGGGAGCAAACAGG
rnacentral:rRNA from 1 species